rnacentral:rRNA from 1 species
UACGGGGGGGGCAAGCGUUGUUCGGAUUACUGGGCGUAAAGGGCGCGUAGGCGGCCACCGCAAGUCGGUUGUGAAAUCUCUGGGCUUAACCCAGAAAGGUCAACCGAUACUGCGGGGCUAGAGUGCAGAAGGGGCAACUGGAAUUCUCGGUGUAGCGGUGAAAUGCGUAGAUAUCGAGAGGAACACCUGCGGCGAAGGCGGGUUGCUGGGCUGACACUGACGCUGAAGCGCGAAAGCUAGGGGGAGCGAACGGG